rnacentral:rRNA from 1 species
GAUGAACGCUAGCGGCAGGCCUAAUACAUGCAAGUCGGACGGUGUCUUCGGACAUAGUGGCGCACGGGUGCGUAACACGUAUGCAACCUACCUUACAUUGGGGGAUAGCCUUUCGAAAGGGAGAUUAAUACCGCAUAAGACAGUAGUCUGGCAUCAGACAGCUGUUAAAGAUUUAUCGAUGUAAGCUGGGCAUGCGUCCAAUUAGUUAGUUGGCGAGGUAACGGCUCACCAAGACUAUGAUUGGUAGGGGAACUGAGAGGUCAAUCCCCCACACUGGCACUGAGAUACGGGCCAGACUCCUACGGGAGGCAGCAGUAGGGAAUAUUGGGCAAUGGACGCAAGUCUGACCCAGCCAUGCCGCGUGCAGGAAGAAGGCGUUAUGCGUUGUAAACUGCUUUUAUACAGGAAGAAACGACUCUUGCGAGAGGCAUUGACGGUACUGUAUGAAUAAGCACCGGCUAACUCCGUGCCAGCCGCCGCAGUAAAAC